rnacentral:rRNA from 1 species
UGGGGAAUAUUGCACAAUGGGCGCAAGCCUGAUGCAGCCAUGCCGCGUGUAUGAAGAAGGCCUUCGGGUUGUAAAGUACUUUCAGCGGGGAGGAAGGGAGUAAAGUUAAUACCUUUGCUCAUUGACGUUACCCGCAGAAGAAGCACCGGCUAACUCCGUGCCAGCAGCCGCGGUAAUACGGAGGGUGCAAGCGUUAAUCGGAAUUACUGGGCGUAAAGCGCACGCAGGCGGUUGAUUGAGUCAGAUGUGAAAUCCCCGGGCUUAACCCGGGAAUUGCAUCUGAUACUGGUCAGCUAGAGUCUUGUAGAGGGGGGUAGAAUUCCAUGGGUAGCGGUGAAAUGCGUAGAGAUGUGGAGGAAUACCGGUGGCGAAGGCGGCCCCCUGGACAAAGACUGACGCUCAGGUGCGAAAGCGUGGGGAGCAAACAGG